CUCUUCAGGUGGCCACCAUGUCCUUGAAGAUCCAGACAAGCAACAUAACCAACAAGAAUGACCCCAAGUCCAUCAACUCUCGGGUCUUCAUCGGAAACCUCAACACAGCUUUGGUGAAGAAGUCAGAUGUGGAGACAAUCUUCUCCAAGUAUGGCCGUGUGGCUGGCUGUUCUGUGCACAUGGGCUAUGCCUUUGUCCAGUAUGCCAGUGAGCGCCAUGCCAGGGCAGCUGUGCUGGGAGAGAAUGGGCGAGUGCUGGCCGGGCAGACCCUGGACAUCAACAUGGCUGGAGAGCCCAAGCCCAACAGACCCAAGGGGCUAAAGAGAGCAGCAUCUGCCAUAUACAGGCUCUUCGACUACCGGGGCUGCCUGUCACCUGUGCCAGUGCCCAGGGCAGUCCCUGUGAAGCGACCCCGGGUCACAGUCCCUUUGGUCCGACGUGUCAAGACUACCAUACCCGUCAAGCUCUUUGCCCGCUCCACAGCCAUCACUACCAGCUCAGCCAAGAUCAAGUUAAAGAGCAGUGAGCUGCAAGCCAUCAAGACAGAACUGACACAGAUCAAGUCUAACAUCGACGCCCUGCUAGGCCGCUUGGAGCAGAUUGCUGAGGAGCAAAAGGCCAAUCCAGAUGGCAAGAAGAAAGGCGGCGACAGCAGCAGCAGUGGUGGUGGCAGUAGUAGCAGCAACAGCCAACCACAAGCUCCCCAAGAAGACAAGGUUGCCAAGGCAAGCAUGCCACUGGGAGAAGCACAGACCCGCGACAACGGUGAUGAGGUGGGGCUGCUGACACAUAGUGAGGAAGAACUGGAGAUGGUGAAGAAAUGUGAUACCAGAUUCUUCCCAAAGGAUCGAUCUUCUCUAGAUGUUUUCAAGAUUUGAAGCCUCAUUUGUGAUCCUCACAGCCAUCCUGAAAGAAUAUAGCAGCCAGUGGGUAUACUGGAUUGUGAGCUAAGAGGCCUGGGCUUUCCCCUGAAUUGCUGCCAACAAGCUUUUGGGACCCAACCACCAUGCUGUGAAGCAGCUUAGGCCACAUGGAGAGGCCACGUGUACAUGUUCGGCUGUCAGCAGUAUCAACUGUCAGGCAUGAGUGAGGAAGCCUUCAAGAUGACUCCAGCCCAGCCACCGUCUGACUGAGAACCGAGUAAGAACUGCCUCACUGUGUUCAAAGCCCAGCACCAUGAGGAAUAAUAAUAAAAUGAUUGUUUUCAGCCACUAA